UAAUGCUUGAUGCUUUUAGAAAAUUGAUCGCUUGAUGGAAUAAGGAAAAAGUUUGUGGAUCAAACAUAUGAAAUAAUCGAGAGGAAAGAGGGAAUUUAACCACCUAUGUUUAUACGUCCUUAGUGGAUAUUUGUGAAUUUUGAUAAAUUAGGUACAGAAGGAUCUAAGAUGUCAUUUCCUACUUGAAGAAAAAAAGCCAAUUUUGGUCCAUUUCCUUAACGUCCUACUUCCUUCUGUUGUUAGCGACAAGCUCAAUGCAGGAAAGGAACCACCUCUCAUAAUGCUUGAUGCUUUUAGAAAAUUGAUCGCUUGAUGGAAUAAGGACAAAGUUUGUGGAUCAAACAUAUGAAAUAAUCGAGAGGAAAGAGGGAAUUUAACCACCUAUGUUUAUACGUCCUUAGUGGAUUUUUGUGAAUUUUGAUAAAUUAGGUACAGAAGGAUCUAAGAUGUCAUUUCCUACUCGAAGAAAAAAAGCCAAUUUUGGUCCAUUUCCUUAACGUCCUACUUCCUUCUGUUGUUAGCGACAAGCUCAAUGCAGGAAAGGAACCACCUCUCAUAAUGCUUGACGCUUUUAGAAAAUUGAUCGCUUGAUGGAAUAAGGAAAAAGUUUGUGGAUCAAACAUAUGAAAUAAUCGAGAGGAAAGAGGGAAUUUAACCACCUAUGUUUAUACGUCCUUAGUGGAUUUUUGUGAAUUUUGAUAAAUUAGGUACAGAAGGAUCUAAGAUGUCAUUUCCUACUCGAAGAAAAAAAGCCAAUUUUGGUCCAUUUCCUUAACGUCCUACUUCCUUCUGUUAGCGACAAGCUCAAUGCAGGAAAGGAACCACCUCUCAUAAUGCUUGACGCUUUUAGAAAAUUGAUCGCUUGAUGGAAUAAGGAAAAAGUUUGUGGAUCCAACAUAUGAAAUAAUCGAGAGGAAAAAGGGAAUUUUACCACCUAAAACCCCAGACAUUGAUGUUGCUAAACAUGUGGCUGAAACCACUGUGGUAGAGCAGUUGGCACAAUAAAACAAUACAGUAUUUAGGUUUAGGUUUGUUACUAUUUCAGUUGCAUAAAUCGUUUCUAUAAAAUACUUGUGACAUUAUUUUUCGCCUUAAUCAAUUGUGUAACAUUACUGAGUAAAAAUGCCUAUGAUGUAGGGGAAAUAUCUAACCAGCGCAGCUGAUCAUCACGGCUGAUUACAGACACAGACACUCCUGACACGACAUGCGACCUGACCAUUGUACCCUGACUCGUUGUCCGCCGCCCUCUUCUCCCCUCUAGACCAUCUCUAGACACACUUUCAAAGCCGUAGAAUUCCCGUCACUAUUACAGUUAAAUUAUUUUUAUUUAAACUUUUGUUCUUGUAACUCCAUUAACAUCAUAUUUUCACCUCAUCAUAUCUUCUGUCAUUUAUUUAUUUAUUGCAUUUGAUUAUUAAUGUUUAUGUUUUGGACGCAACUACAGUCGACGCACAGGCUCGCUGCCCAUGUCGGCUUAUUCCUUAUAAACAUGUACGCUUUUUUUUUAAACUUAGAUGUAAU